GACGAACGCUGGCGGUGUGCUUAACACAUGCAAGUCGAACGGUAAGGCCCUUUCGGGGGUACACGAGUGGAGAACGGGUGAGUAACACGUGAGUAACCUGCCCUCAUCUCUGGGAUAACAGUCGGAAACGGUUGCUAAUACUGGAUAUGAGCUUGCAAGGCAUCUUGUGGGUUGGAAAGAUUUUUUUGGUUGGGGAUGGACUCGCGGCCUAUCAGCUUGUUGGUGAGGUAGUGGCUCACCAAGGCUUCGACGGGUAGCCGGCCUGAGAGGGCGACCGGCCACAUUGGGACUGAGAUACGGCCCAAACUCCUACGGGAGGCAGCAGUGGGGAAUAUUGCACAAUGGACGGAAGUCUGAUGCAGCAACGCCGCGUGCGGGAGGACGGCCUUCGGGUUGUAAACCGCUUUCAAUUGUGACGAAGCUUUUUGUGACGGUAGCAGUAGAAGAAGCACCGGCUAACUACGUG
rnacentral:rRNA from 1 species